rnacentral:rRNA from 1 species
AACCUUUACAAUGCACGCAAGUGUGAUAAGGGGAUCCUAAGUGCUUAUACAUUGUAUAGGCUUUUGUUAAGAGUAAAUAUCUUAGCGAAUAAGUGGUGGGUAAGACUGGUGCCAGCCGCCGCGGUAACACCAGCGCCACAAGUGGCAACCACGUUUAUUGGGCCUAAAGCGUCCGUAGCCGGUUUGGUAAAUCUCUUGUGAAAUCGACAGGCUCAACCUGUCGGCGUGCUUGAGACACUGCCAAACUUGAGACCGGGAGGAGUCAGAGGUAUUCCAUGGGGAGCGGUAAAAUGUGAUAAUCCUUGGAGGACCAUCUAUGGCGAAGGCAUCUGACCAGAACGGAUCUGACGGUGAGGGACGAAGGCUAGGGGAGCGAUCCGGAUUAGAUACCCGAGUAGUCCUAGCAGUAAACGCUGUGAGCAAGAUGUUACGCAUCUCUUGAGGAUGUGUAGUGUCGAAAUGAAGAUGUUAAGCUCACCGCCUGGGAAGUACGGUCGCAAGACUGAAACUUUAAGGAAUUGGCGGGGGAGCAC